CCCCUACUCUAGAGGCACAAGUACUCAACAGCAGUUUGAAGAGGGAACUCUCUGAAGAAGAUGAGGAGGGUGAGAAAAACACUAAAGGACCUCUUUUGGACGAGGAAAUUUCUGACAACCUGAGAAGAUAUCUGAAGCCAAAAAGUGCUGCUGUGGAGGAGUUGGAGGCUCUGUUACUGCAAGAUGCUGAUCCAUUGGCUGUUACUAUGAAUGGGCAACACAUUAAGCAAGAAGUAGAAUGGUCAGAUGAUGAAACAGAUAUGCAAGAGAAAGUAUUAAAGCCAUUAUCACCAUCUGCAUCACCACCCAUACCACCACUGCCAUCACCAGUAACACCUCCACCAGGAAAGGAUAAAAAGACAGUAAUGUUUAAUUUAAAGCUUCCAAGUGGCAAGUCCAUUCCAGCAACCUUCGUUACAGACCCAAAAGCAGCCUUCACAAAGACGAUUAGAAUGACCAAACCAACCCCCUUGAAUAGUGUUCCCAUAAAGAUCAAGACUGUAACUGGUGACCAGGUCAGGGCCUCUGUCUCCCAGUCAUCUCUAAUGCUAUCAUCACUACUACCAAAGCAACCACCACCACUCCUGCAGGAGGACACCCCCACCUUGAAGAAGGAAAAUAGAGACAGCACUCCAAGAACUUCCAGGAGCCCUACACCUUGCACUGAGCAGGUCUAUAAGACAGUCAGACAAAAUGUACUUCGAAACCCUGUUAUAGAGGAUGAAGAGGAGCUCUAUGGUAAAUAUGUAGCCGCUGCCAUGAGGAAGCUAACCAGCAGAUCCAGGUCUCUGGCAAAGAUGCGUAUUCAGCAAGUUCUUUUCCAUCUUGAGGAGUCAGACAGGGCAUGUGACUAGGGCAGGAUGGACAACAGAGACCUAACUAAGGUGCUGGGUGAAGUGCUACAAAAACAGAGACCAUCAGUUUGGUUUCUUGUCUAUAUUUGUACAAAUUAUUUUUAUACUUAUGUAAGGUAAAUAUUAAGAUAUUUAUGAAUUCAGCAAGACUGAACUGGCUUAUCUAUGUUCCAAACAUAUUGAGGAAGAAGCAGGUAAUGUCAUAGCUGAAAAAGAUGCAUUUAUAAGUACCAAGGGCAUGUUUAGUGAAUUUAUUAUGAGAGACCCUCCAAGAUGUUUCAGUUAUUCUUUACGGAAGUUUGUGCAUUGAAUGUGUUGAAGGCCAGCACUACAGAAAAGCUGCUUCUUUUUCUCAGAAUAUUAGGGCUAUUAAAUUGCAUAAAAGUACCUAUAUAUAAAUUUAUUAUUUGCAAUUCUCUUUAAAUUUUGCAGGUUACUACUGCCUAAUCCAAUAUUAUAAUGUAUAGCUGUGUUUUGUUAAAGUUAAUAAACACAUUAAAUCUUCUAACUAC